CCUACGGGUGGCUGCAGUGAGGAAUAUUGGGCAAUGGCCGGAAGGCUGAACCAGCCAAGCCGCGUGAGGGAGGAAGGCGCAGAGCGUCGCAGACCUCUUUUGCCGGGGGACAAAAGGCCGGACUCGACCGGUCCUGAGGGUACCCGGAGAAAAAGCAUCGGCUAACUCCGUGCCCGCAGCCGCGGUAAUACGGAGGAUUCGAGCGUUAACAGGAUUCAUUGGGUUUAAGGGGUGCGCAGGCGGGGCUUUAACCCGGCGGUGAAAUCGCGGGGCUCAACCCCGCCCAGCCGUGGGAACUGGGGGCCUUGAGUGCGGCGGAGGAAUGCGGAAUGCGCGGUGUAGCGGUGAAAUGCAUAGAUAGCGCGCAGAACCCCGAUUGCGAAGGCAGCGUGCCGUGCCGCCACUGACGCUGAGGCACGAAAGCGCGGGGAUCGAACAGGAUUAGAUACCCGAGUAGUC
rnacentral:rRNA from 1 species